UACGGAAGGCAGCAGUGGGGAAUAUUGCACAAUGGGCGCAAGCCUGAUGCAGCCAUGCCGCGUGUAUGAAGAAGGCCUUCGGGUUGUAAAGUACUUUCAGUCGUGAGGAAGGUGUUAAGGUUAAUAACCUUAGCAAUUGACGUUAGCGACAGAAGAAGCACCGGCUAACUCCGUGCCAGCAGCCGCGGUAAUACGGAGGGUGCGAGCGUUAAUCGGAAUUACUGGGCGUAAAGGGCACGCAGGCGGUUAAUUAAGUUGGAUGUGAAAUCCCCGGGCUUAACCUGGGAAUGGCAUUCAAGACUGGUUAGCUAGAGUCUUGUAGAGGGGGUAGAAUUCCAUGUGUAGCGGUGAAAUGCGUAGAGAUGUGGAGGAAUACCGGUGGCGAAGGCGGCCCCUGGGACAAAGACUGACGCUCAUGUGCGAAAGCGUGGGGAGCAAACGAGGUAUUAGACUACC
rnacentral:rRNA from 1 species